rnacentral:misc_RNA from 1 species
AAGUCGUAACAAGGUUUCCGUAGGUGAACCUGCGGAAGGAUCAUUGUGGAGAGUUGGGAGAGUGUGUUGGAAUGUGGGUUUGAUAUCAAGUGACAAAAUAACUACCUAUACAAUAACUAGCCACCUGGGAUCUCUGGGCUCUU